ensembl:misc_RNA Metazoa_SRP Metazoan signal recognition particle RNA
GCUGGGCGCGCUGGCGUGUCCCUGCAGUCCCAGCUAUUCGGGAGGCUGAGGCUGGAGGAUCGCUUGAGUCCAGAAGUUCUGGGCUGUAGUGCGCUAUGCCGAUCAGAUGUCCGCACUAAGGUCAGCAUUAAUAUGGUGACCUCCCAGGAGCGGGGGACCACCAGGUUGCCUAAGGAGGGGUGAACCAGCCCAGGCUGGAAACAGAGCAGGUCAAAACUCCUGUGCUGAUUAGUAGUGGGACUGUGCCUGUAAACAGCGCUGCACUCCAGCCUGGGCAACACAUCAUGAUCAUGUCUCCA